GCUACCAUGACUUUGAUCCCCGUCUUCAUCUGGACACUGAUCCUCUGGACUCAAGAAUGCAGAGGUCAAGUCACAGUAACUCAGACUCCUGCAGUGAAAUCUGUUCUUCCAGGAGAAACAGUCACUAUUAACUGUAGAACCAGUCAGGCAGUGUAUAGUGACUCAAAUGGUCAGUGGUUACACUGGUAUCAGAAGAAACCUGGAGAAGGUCCUAAACUCCUGAUUAAGCUCAUAAAUCAGAGACAGUCAGGUUUUCCAGCUCGUUUCAGUGGCAGUGGAUCUGGAUCUGAUUUCACUCUGACCAUCAGUGGAGUCCAGACUGAAGAUGCAGGAGAUUACUACUGUCAGAGUUGGCACAACAUCAAUGGCUACUGGUUCACACAGUGUUAUAGAGUCGUACAAAAACCUCCCUCAGUCAGAUUGUAG